AGGAUUGUACUCUUUAGGAUCAUUUCUAUAGUAACUAUCCAGCUUUAGUCCCUCAACUAAGGCAAAGCUUUGAAGCACGAUGACGACAAAGAGGUCGUUGUCCUGAGCGUGAGGCAGGUGCACGUUGAAUGGCUUUUGCCGCUCGCGUGAGCCCUCGAUGAUCGCGCGCUGCCCGCCGCUGGCGGAAAGCACAUGGACUUCGGACCAGUCCGAAUGCU
rfam:Salpingoeca sp. ATCC 50818 unplaced genomic scaffold supercont1.4, whole genome shotgun sequence.